UGCUGGGGCGGUUGGAAGAACGCGGGCUCUGGCCUGAAGCGGUGCAUGCUGGAACUUGUAGUCCUCAGAGCUCAGCUGUUUCGAUCUGUGUACGCUAAAGGAAGAUUUGUUUUGCCCUUGAGAAUACAGAUUACCUUCGCUAUUCACAGCUUCUUUGGACAUGGAGUACAAGGGCAACUUCAAGUGCAAACCCCUACUGGUGUACAGAGCUUCAAGUUCACAAGCACUUAACCUUAACCAGAAAAGUGUGAACCAUUUGCCAGUCCACUGGAGGUGGAACAAAGGUUGGAAGACACCUGAUUGGUUUCCACAGCUGUUUCAUACCAAAAGUUGAAUACUAUCUCUAGGGCAGAAACUUCGCCUUCAAGAUUUUGUUAAAUUUUGGAUAAUGCCCCAGUCCACUGCUGUGAAGAACUCAAAAAUGCCGACCCCUAUGUAGGAGUUCUUUUCACGCCCCCAAAUACUAAGUCUCUCAUCCAGCCCCUGGAUCAGGGCAUAAUAAAUGUCUUCAAGGCACAGUAUACAAGGGAGCUUUAACAAGGCUUUCGAGGCUCUCAAAGUCAACAAGGAAACUACCACGAUGGACGAAUUAUUGGAAGUCAGUCACUAUACCCAAUGUGUUUAUGUUGGCACAGCCUGGGACAUCAAGCAGAGCCUGUAACUGUUGGAAAAAUGUUUGGCCAGGCUGUGUGGAAAAUUUUGAAGGCUUUGAAGGUGCUGCAGAAAUAAAGAACAGUGUCAAAAACAUAAUGCAUGCUGCACAGCAAAUAAGUGAAGGCUUUGGUGACAUGAAGAAGGAUGUGGAGGAAGUUUUGGCAGAGAAAGCAACAGACAGUGAUGAUAGUCAGCAGAAGAGUCCAGGAAUUGUCCCUCUUACAGCAGCCAAAAUAACAGAAUGGAACUCUGCCUUGAAACAAAUUUUCAGUGACAUGGAAGGGUGUAACCCUAUCCCUGAUCGAAGCCUCAAAUUUAAAUCAUUAACUUCUGGUGUGUCUGCCCCUUAUGAUGAGAUGCUUAAAGAUGUGAGGCAAACAGCCAGGCAGACAGGACCGGCCCAGUUUCCGGAGCUACUUCAGGAGGGGAAAGUGCCAACUACAUCAACAAGUGGAGAGCCAAACCUCUGAGGUUGAACUAACAGAUGUCAGCCUGUCAACCUCUUCCUCAUCUGCAGAAUCAGUUCCACCUACUGAUGCAACAUGCCAGGCUUCCCUGUCCUUGACUAUCUCCUGGAGUUUGCUCACUCUCGUUCACUGUCAGUGAUGCCAUCCAACCAUGUCUGUCGCCCCUGUCUCCUCCUGCUGUUAGCCUUUGCCCCGCUUCAUUUGUACUCCAAGGCCAAACUUGCCUGUGUACUCCAGGUUCUCUCUCAACUUCCUACUUUUGCACUCCAAUCCCCUAUGAUGAAAAGGAUUUUUUGGUGUUAGUUCUAGAAGGUCUUGUAGGUCUUCAUAGUCAUUCAGCUUCUUCAGCAUUAGUGGUUGGGGCGUAGACUUGGAUUACUGUGAAGCUGAUUGGUUUGCCUUGAAAUAAACUGAGGUCAUUCUGUUGUUUUUGAGAUUUCACCCAAGUACUGCAUUUCCGACUCUUGUUGAUUAUGAGGGCUACUCCAUUUCCUCUAAGGGAUAUCUACCCAUAGUAAACAUAAUGGUCAUCUGAAUUCUCCCAUUUCUGUCCAUUUUUGUUCACUAAUUCCUAAAACUGUCAGUCUUUAACCUUGUCAUAACCUGCUUGACCAUGUCCAAUUUACCUUGAUUCAAGGAUCUAACAUUCAAGGUAAAUAUGCAAUAUUGUUCUUUAUAGCAUCACUUUACUUUUACCACCAGACACAUCCACAACUGAGUGACGUUUCCGCUUUUGCCCACCUUCUUCUUUCUGGAGCUAUUUCUCCACUCAAUAAGUAGUGAGAACCAGACCUCUGAGGGUGAACUGAUAGAUGUAAACCUCCCACUCUCUCCAUCAUCUGCAGAAUGAGUUCCACCAACCUCUCCCUUGGUUUUGGUGGAGUAAGCCAAGGUCGAAAGGUUUGCCCACACUGUGCGUUGUAUCAUCAUGCAGCCUGCAGCUCCAUCGACAGGAAAAUGUUAGGUAAUGCUUUGUGAAACGUUAAAUGCUCAAUCUUUCCCUUUCCAAGACUUUACCUGCAUUGCUGUACAGACUAUACUAUGUCUCUAUAUAAAUACUUAUGUUUACAGUGA